AGGUUUCCUAUUGCUUCAUUUGAUUUGGGUCGUCAAGUAUCAAAUAAGUUAUUGUUCCUUGGAAAUUAAGCCACAGCCUUAUUAAAGGAAGCAGAAUUCAUAAGACAUAUCCACUCAAGGCUGGCUUUUGGGAAUCGAUUAAAUCUGGGGAGAAGGAUCGGAGGAUGAUGAGCUAAGAAGGAAUUCUGAUGUCAUUGAGAUCCUAAAGAAGACAAGUUUCCAUGGCUCUAGCAUGUUGAAAAACCCAGAAACAACCCUGGAGCAUGAGUAAGAGUCUUGCUCAUCAACUAUUGAUUAAAGACUGAUUACAGCUUGAGCAUAUGUAAAAAAAAACGCAUCGUAAUGUUAUCCUCUUUCUAAAUAAAGUGGUUUAAAGCGUAUGGUCUAAAUUUUACCUCAUAACUAUUUGUUUCUCAGUUGAAGCU